rnacentral:rRNA from 1 species
UGGUCCCUAUCUGCCGUGGGCGCUGGAAAUUUGAGUGGGGCUGCUCCUAGUACGAGAGGACCGGAGUGGACAUACCUCUGGUGUACCGGUUAUGACGCCAGUCGUAUUGCCGGGUAGCUAAGUAUGGAAGAGAUAACCGCUGAAAGCAUCUAAGCGGGAAACUUGCCACAAGAUUAGAUUUCCCGGGGAUUUAAUCCCCCUAAAGGCUCGUUGAAGACUACAACGUUGAUAGGUCGGAUGUGGAAGCAUAGUAAUAUGUUAAGCUAACCGAUACUAAUUGGCCGUGAGGCUUGAUCCUAUAA